rnacentral:rRNA from 1 species
GCGGCGUGCUUAACACAUGCAAGUCGAACGCUGAAGCUCCCAGCUUGCUGGGGGUGGAUGAGUGGCGAACGGGUGAGUAUCACGUGAGGAACCUGCCCUGAACUUCGGGAUAAGCCUGGGAAACUGGGUCUAAUACUGGAUAGGACCUGCCAUCGCAUGGUGGUGGGUGGAAAGCUUUUGCGGUUUGGGAUGGUCUCGCGGCCUAUCAGCUUGUUGGUGGGGUAAUGGCCUACCAAGGCUUUGACGGGUAGCCGGCCUGAGAGGGUGACCGGCCACACUGGGACUGAGACACGGCCCAGACUCCUACGGGAGGCAGCAGUGGGGGAUAUUGCACAAUGGGGGAAACCCUGAUGCAGCGACGCCGCGUGAGGGAUGACGGCCUUCGGGUUGUAAACCUCUUUCAGUUGGGAAGAAGCCCUUUGGGGUGACGGUACCUUCAGAAGAAGCACCGGCUAACUACGUGCCAGCAGCCGCGGUAAUACGUAGGGUGCGAGCGUUAUCCGGAAUUAUUGGGCGUAAAGAGCUCGUAGGCGGUUUGUCACGUCUGCUGUGAAAGCCCAGGGCUUAACCCUGGGUUUGCAGUGGGUACGGGCAGGCUGGAGUGCAGUAGGGGAGACUGGAAUUCCUGGUGUAGCGGUGAAAUGCGCAGAUAUCAGGAGGAACACCGAUGGCGAAGGCAGGUCUCUGGGCUGUUACUGACGCUGAGGAGCGAAAGCAUGGGGAGCGAACAGGAUUAGAUACCCUGGUAGUCCAUGCCGUAAACGUUGGGCACUAGGUGUGGGGACCAUUUCCACGGUUUCCGCGCCGUAGCUAACGCAUUAAGUGCCCCGCCUGGGGAGUACGGCCGCAAGGCUAAAACUCAAAGGAAUUGACGGGGGCCCGCACAAGCGGCGGAGCAUGCGGAUUAAUUCGAUGCAACGCGAAGAACCUUACCAAGGCUUGACAUACACUGGAUCGCCGCAGAGAUGUGGUUUCCCUUCGGGUCCAGUGUACAGGUGGUGCAUGGUUGUCGUCAGCUCGUGUCGUGAGAUGUUGGUUAAGUCCGCACGAGCGGACCUUAUUCUAUGUUGCCAGCACGUUAUGGUGGGGACUCAUGGGAGACUGCCGGGGUCAACUCGGAGGAAGGUGGGGACGACGUCAAAUCAUCAUGCCCCUUAUGUCUUGGGCUUCACGCAUGCUACAAUGGYCGGCACAAUGGGUUGCGAGAUCGUGAGGUUGAGCUAAUCCCAUAAAACCGGUCUCAGUUCGGAUUGGGGUCUGCAACUCGACCCCAUGAAGUCGGAGUCGCUAGUAAUCGCAGAUCAGCAACGCUGCGGUGAAUACGUUCCCGGGCCUUGUACACACCGCCCGUCAAGUCACGAAAGUUGGUAACACCCGAACCGGUGGCCCAACCAGUUUACUGGGGGGAGCC